rnacentral:rRNA from 2 species
GAGUUUGAUCGUGGCUCAGAUUGAACGCUGGCGGCAGGCCUAACACAUGCAAGUCGAGCGGAUGACGGGAGCUUGCUCCUUGAUUCAGCGGCGGACGGGUGAGUAAUGCCUAGGAAUCUGCCUGGUAGUGGGGGACAACGUUUCGAAAGGAACGCUAAUACCGCAUACGUCCUACGGGAGAAAGCAGGGGACCUUCGGGCCUUGCGCUAUCAGAUGAGCCUAGGUCGGAUUAGCUAGUUGGUGGGGUAAUGGCUCACCAAGGCGACGAUCCGUAACUGGUCUGAGAGGAUGAUCAGUCACACUGGAACUGAGACACGGUCCAGACUCCUACGGGAGGCAGCAGUGGGGAAUAUUGGACAAUGGGCGAAAGCCUGAUCCAGCCAUGCCGCGUGUGUGAAGAAGGUCUUCGGAUUGUAAAGCACUUUAAGUUGGGAGGAAGGGCAGUAAGUUAAUACCUUGCUGUUUUGACGUUACCGACAGAAUAAGCACCGGCUAACUCUGUGCCAGCCGCCGC